rnacentral:rRNA from 1 species
GUGUCGCAGGGAAACCGAUAAACACACCGCCUGGGGGAGUACGACCGCAAGGUUAAAACUCAAAUGAAUUGACGGGGACCCGCACAAGUAGUGGAGCAUGUGGUUUAAUUCGAAGAUACGCGCAGAACCUUACCAACACUUGACAUGUUCGUCGCGACUCUAAGAGAUUAGAGUUUUCGGUUCGGCCGGACGAAACACAGGUGCUGCAUGGCUGUCGUCAGCUCGUGUCGUGAGAUGUUGGGUUAAGUCCCGCAACGAGCGCAACCCUCACUUUUAGUUGCCAUCAUUAAGUUGGGCACUCUGAAAGAACUGCCAGUGAUAAGCUGGAGGAAGGUGGGGAUGACGUCAAGUCCUCAUGGCCCUUACGUGUUGGGCUACACACGUGCUACAAUGGCAUCUACAACAGGAAGCAAAACGGCAACGUUAAGCAAAUCCCGAAAAGAUGCCUCAGUUCGGAUUGCACUCUGCAACUCGAGUGCAUGAAGCUGGAAUUACUAGUAAUCGUGGAUCAGCGUGCCACGGUGAAUGCGUUCCCGGGUCUUGUACACACCGCCCGUCACACCAUGGGAGUUGGUUCUACCUUAAGGCAAGGUUUUAAACCCUUGACCACGGUAUAGUCAGCAACUGGGGUGAAGUCGUAACAAGGUACC